UGGGAACUGCGGUCAGGUGGAAAGUGAUUCUGUUCUCUGCCGAGGCGGCUUGAAGUGUCAGCCCACUGUGUAACACCAAGAAGCAUCCUGACCCUGCCUGGAUCGACGCGAGGGCAGCUGAGGCUGAGGCAAGAUGCUCUGACAAGUCACGGAAACAUCAAGAUUUAAACUGAGUAUCACAGCAUAAACAACAUAUUUCCAGCAUUCAGACUCUGUGAUUCUUCCUAUCGGUAUAUUUAAGAUUUCAGGAUCCCAUCCAGGAUAACAUAUUACAUUUAUUGUCAUGUUUACUUGGGCUGCUCUCCGCCGUGCGACAGUUUCUCAGACUUUCCUUAUUGUUAGCCUUUUUGACUGCUGACUGCCAAUGCUGAGAAUAGCGCCUGCCAUAUACCAGCUGGACGGGACUUCUGUAAUUUCACCCUCUCAUUUCACAAGUGAGGAUGCAAAAGCUGAAAGUGACUGAGUAGCUUCCCAAAGUCAACACCAGGCUGAUGAUAAGAGGAAAGUUUUGAUCUUAGGUAUUUUGGCUUCCAUUCCAGUGUUCUCUCACUUCAUCGAAUUGUGUGUCUAAUACCUGAAUCAAAGGAGUUUGAAUUGAGUUGUUAUUCUAAUAAUAAA